AAUGCCGCUCCCAUCUUCUCCCCGGAGUUCCACCGCCGCCAUUUCGCGGCGCUUCUACAAAGAUCUACUUUGAGGUUCUGAGGAAACUUGUUUAGGUGUUGCCUUCAAGGAGGUGCAGAAUCCUGAUGGACCUGGUGCAUGGACUUACUUCUCCUUAUGGGUCUGUUUGUCUGUAUGGGUGCGCAACAGCAUUUCUUCUCAGGUGAAAAUUUACCUUUGGCCUCUACCUGAAGCUGUGUGCUGAAGACCUUCACUGCUACAUUCUAAUUAAUUUCCCUUCAGAUGAAAAAUGCAAAUUCUUAUGCCAUGUGGAUCAUGUCAGCUUCUACCACAAGGAUUAUGCAAUCCAUCUCUGAACCACUGCAAGGAAACUCACUGUCAAGGAUCAGCAGAAGAGGAACAGAAUGCUCAACAUAGGAUACUGUAUCUCUGUACCAUGGCAGCACUUUGUAAAAUAGUUACAGCAUGAGUGCUGUGCCUGUUGGAUGGAAUUUUGUCUCCGCUGACUUCUUCCAAAUGAAGCGCUGAAGGUGAUGAGCGAAAAGAAAACAAAAAUCUAUGAAGAAAGUACAGGGACUGAUGCAACAACAGGUUGAAUAACAUUCUCUGAAGCCAGUCUAUCUGAGAGAAAGCAUCACCCAGGUGAGUACAUUUGAACAGAAGUUUAUAUUUUGUGUGGACUCAAAGGUCUAAAGACUCGGUGUGUUUGUGACAUGACAUGCUUUUGCUGUUCCAUGACUACCAACACCUGUGAUGCACUCUUCUUAAACCAAAAUGUUCCUCUUUUAUGUAGAAAAAUGUUUGAUAUGUAGCAAUAUGUUUUGACCCAGGCACACUCCCAUCAUUCAGCAACCAAAACACUGGUGUGCAAUUAACACUGUUUUGGCUGAAACUGGGAUGUUUAAAUAAAUAGUAUUUUUUAAAAUGC